GACGAACGCUGGCGGCGCGCUUAACACAUGCAAGUCGUGCGGUACCGAUGGCAAGUCUUCAUGACGAGCCUUCGGUAUAGCGGCGGACGGGUGAGUAACACGUGAGUAGCUGUCCUAGGGAGGGGGAUAACGCCUGGAAACGGGUGCUAAAAACCCCAUAAGCCUCGCAAGAGGUGAAAGUGUACUUGUUACAGCCUUAGGGUGUGCUCGCGGCCUAUCAGCUAGUUGGUGAGGUAAGGGCUCACCAAAGGCUAAGACGGGUAGCCGGCCUGAGAGGGUGUACGGCCACACUGGAAUUGAGAUACGGUCCAGACUCCUACGGGAGGCAGCAGUGGGGAAUUUUGGGCAAUGGGCGAAAGGCCUGACCCAGCGACGCCGCGUUGGGGAUGAAGUCCUUCGGGCGUAAACCCAUGUUGUAGGGGAAGAAGAAAGUGACGGUACCCUACGAGAAAGCCCCGGCCAACUACGUCCAGCAGCCGCGGUAAGAGUAGUACA
rnacentral:rRNA from 1 species